GUUUCUGUAGUGUUAGUGGUUAUCACGUUUGCCUCACAUGCUCGAAAGUUCCCAGGUUCGAAACCGGCAGAAACA